rnacentral:rRNA from 1 species
GACGAACGCUGGCGGCGUGCCUAAUACAUGCAAGUUGAGCGCUGAAGGUUGGUACUUGUACCAACUGGAUGAGCAGCGAACGGGUGAGUAACGCGUGGGUAAUCUGCCUUUGAGCGGGGGACAACAUUUGGAAACGAAUGCUAAUACCGCAUAAAAACUUUAAACACAAGUUUUAAGUUUGAAAGAUGCAAUUGCAUCACCCAAUGAUGAUCCCGCGUUGUAUUAGCUAGUUGGUGAGGUAAAGGCUCACCAAGGCGAUGAUACAUAGCCGACCUGAGAGGGUGAUCGGCCACAUUGGGACUGAGACACGGCCCAAACUCCUACGGGAGGCAGCAGUAGGGAAUCUUCGGCAAUGGGCGAAAGUCUGACCGAGCAACGCCGCGUGAGUGAAGAAGGUUUUCGGAUCGUAAAACUCUGUUGGUAGAGAAGAACGUUGGUGAGAGUGGAAAGCUCAUCAAGUGACGGUAACUACCCAGAAAGGGACGGCUAACUACGUG